rnacentral:piRNA from 1 species
UCAUCACACGAGGUUCUGCACCACAGC